UUGACCUUAAAAUACCAUAUAUUUUAAAUUACUGAUAUAAACAAACGGUCCUGUUUAUUCAUGAAAUAAUUUAAACAAUAAGCGACAGACCAAUUACCUUUUAAAUAAGUCAAAACAAACAACAAACAAUAGGCAUGCGUAAUUCUAUACACAUGCAAAAGGACAUUUAAAAUAUUUCAGAACAUGACUUAUCCUAUGAGAAGGCAUAAGGGUAUGUAAUCUAUGUCUUUUGAAUAUCUGUUUUGAACAUCGGUAACAACAUUGGAAAAAUACGUGUACUCCAUAUAAAUAGAUAUAUUAGUGAUAAAAGAAUGUUUACACUGAUUGUAAUGGUAUAAUAUAAAAAGGAUAAUUUUCUUGGUAAGAAAAAUCGAACAACACUGAUUUAUUUUUACAAUAUUUGAAAUAACCGUUUAACCGUGUAAACAAAUCGAUUAUCUAUAUAGAAAGAAACAUUACGGCGAUACCUGUAACAAAGGUGAAAACGGAAUAUACACGAGUACUGGAGAAACGACUACUGUAUUGUCACUCCCGAGUGUGAAUAUAAACUUAUUGAUACUAAUUUAGGCGUUUUAAAACAAUGUCAAGUAAACAUGAAGGACCCAAAUAUAAUCGUGGGCGUAGAGGAAGUGUUGAUGAUACAAUAGAAGAGUUUUUAAAUCCAAAAUUACAAUUUCAAAAAGAAGAGCUACCGAAGGGGUCCAAUGCUUUACAGAUACUUAUUCAUCAGUGUGAAAAUGAAAUACACAAGGACGGCUCGGGCAGUGAUUCUGAUGUGGAUGAUGACAAAAUAAAAAAGCCAACGAAGGCAUAUAUGGAACGGCGAAGAAAUACCAUCGCAUGUAAUUAUAGCCAUAAUGUAGGCGUUGAAGGACAAUUCAGAAAAAUGUCUCUCGCGCCAAUUCAAGAAGGAGAAAGAGGUAGAAGUAAUCUUUUAAGUGUUCCGAAGGGACCUAGAACUCGUUCACUGUCGCCUAUGGAGGAGAAUGUGAUACGCAAAAACAGCAUGAAACAUACUAGUCUUGGUUUUGGAUCAACUCACACAAGAGAAACUAUUAUCAAAUAAUGUUACAUUUUUGUUAGAGAUUAUUUAAUUCCGUCCUACAUGUCAAAAUGUCAAAAAACGAUGAAAUAGACAGUUGAAAAUGGGAAGUUUUCAUUCAUUUAUACUAUGCUACUGACUCGUGUAAAUAUUUUUUUAAGUAGUUACUGAGGAACAUGCUUUGUUAAUUGCAAGGUAAAUAUAUAAAUAUAUUUUAAAAAAACUCGAUAGUUUGUCAGUUGUAUAGGUAAAAUCAGAGUUUAAUAUACACGCAAUUUCUAAAAAAAUGUUUUGUUUCGUAAUACUGUAUUAAUGCUAGUAAUGUAUGAGCUCAAUCCGUCCAAGGAAAGUGUCGGACAAGAUCACGGCCACAGUUAAAGCGAUUUAUUCGUAACAAAAGAACAGACAAAAUAAAUGGUCAUUUGGAUGAUCUCUCCUAAGUCUAAGAGUAGACUUAAGUUAUGUGCUAUCAACAUUUAAUUUACAUUAUUUUGUUUUAUGUGUGUUCUAUGCAAAGGUCAGAAAGUCAGACAUGUUACACCAUUACUACUUGUACAGGCUUGUUUGGUUUCUGCAUGUAUAAGGUUCACAAAAAAAAAACUUUCAGUAGUAACCAGAUUGAAGUUUCAUAAAUUAUUAUAUAACUACAGUCCCCUAGAACAUGUAAUGAGUGUAAUCUCUGUAUACUGGUAAUUAUUAGAACAAACCGAUACUUUGUAACGGUAACUUUUUUUCAGCAAUCAUAAUGAAAAUUGGACGUGUUGCUUAAAGAAAGCGUGUGGGAAUGGCAUUUUGUAAGCUUCGAACAAUUCAUAUCUUGAUAAUAUUACAAGGCAUGGUACAACCCAUAUUAAACUAUGUAAACAGUCUUUCUUGACUACAGGACAAUACGAUUGGUUCAAUAUGAGACAUGUGAUAUGCUACCUUCCCAGAACAUGAUUAACACGUUUGUAUCGCCCUUCCUUUCAGAGUCGUCUGCCUUGUUUCUUCACAAGUCUUUGUGGUUGUGCAAUCCUAAUAAUACCUCCCGAUUGUGUUCAUCUUCAGUGUCGUAUUGAGAUUCCUCGUACCACGGACUCUUCUGUGUAACUCAAUUCUACCGUUUGCAGUUAGAUUAUUAAGUAUUACAUUAAAAUUUUGUCUGUGGCAAUUGGAACUUUGGUGUGUAGUAUCUCAUGAUACUUAACAACAUUGGCUUUACAACCUCAUUGUUCCUACGAUUCCGUCCUCCAUUACUAUUUCAUCACUUUUCGUCGAAUGCGACUUGACUCAUUUAACUUGUCAUUAGUAUCACGACAGGUUCCACUAGUAGAACAAGACCUGCUUACCUGUUUCGGACACUUGAUUUCACCCCCAAGUUUUGUUGGGAUUCUGUUUUUUUGUCAUUAUGUUGUCUCUUUUUUCGAUGUUUGAUUUGUACUGCCCUUCAAAGUAUUCUUAUAUAUUUUAUAUGAACCCUAAAAUACGAAAUUAUUGGUAAUUACUACAAAUAACAUAAAGUUUUGUAUGUCAGCUUUAAAAUGAAUACUAAUUUUACUGACCCUAUAUUAUAAAGAUAGUUGAAAGCUGAACGAUCAAUUGCGCAUUUUAUAUGAUGGUCAAUAGGUCUAUAACAGCAUUUUCAAAGCUAAUAUAUCGUUCAUUCAAUCGGAACCAUGUACCAUCAAAUACGGUGUACUCGUACAUAUAUCUGAACCAUGCAUCAUCAAAUAUGGUAGUACUCAUACAUACAUGCCGUUCAUACAUACAUACAUACAUCUCAUCAUAAAUUUGUACUCAUCAUAAAUCAUCCGCUUUCUUUUGAUGUAUCGUCUUUGUUUCAAUUCUUGAAAAUAAUAUUUUCGAGUUCAUGAUACUAUUAUAUCUACAUAUUCUUACAAUAAUUCUGUAACAGUACAUGUACUACUAUCGUGAUGAAACCUCCUUGAAAUUUCCAUAUAAAGAAGUAAUAACAAAAAUACCGAACUCCGGUGUAAAUUCAAAAAGGUGUUACAUAGAAUAAUUUCUUCAUGUAUACACGUUUAAGCUUUUAAGUAUCUGGUAGUUUAAGUGUCAAUCUUUUUGUUUUUUUCUUCAAACCUAAAGAAAAAGAGAACAGAUUUUGUAAAUGUAACUGUUUCUGUGUACAAGUUUAAAAUUAAACAAAAAAGCGGGUCGCUUUGUCGCUAAAAGAACAUUUCAUCUCGACGAAGAACCGAGCGUCUUAGGAAUUAAUUCUCUAGAUAUUUAGACACAUAAUUCGUAAAAGUGUGUACCUCUUUGGUAGAAAAAUAUGUUCUACGACCAGAUGGAUUGGAUAUAGCAAUAUAACCCUGUCUUCUGUACUAACAUUAGCAACAUGACGGGUGCCACAUGUGGAGCAGGAUCUGCUUACCCUUCCGAGAUCACACACAGUUUUUGGUGGGGUUCGUGUUGCUCAGUCUUUAGUUUUCUAUGUUGUGUUUUGUGUACUGUUGUUUGUCUGUUUCUUUUUAGCCAUGGCGUUGUCGACUUAUGAGUUUGAAUGUCCCUUUAGUAUAUUUCGCCUCUCUUUUUUCUGACAAAAGUUCACAUGUUUUACAUCAUAGUCUGAGUUAUUCCUUUUUAAAUUAGUUUCUGAAUUUUAUUAUCCCACUGUUGCAAAGGAACUCGAAAUAGUUAAAUCACCUUCAUUGAUAAAACAAACAUAAUAUUUCUUUUCUCAAACUUUUAAUUCAGUUGUUUUAUUGACUUUCCGUUGGUUGUAAAUAUUUUAUUGCAUAACUACUUUGUUUUUUCUGAAACGUUAGACUCUUCGAUUUUUAUUUUUUAUAACUACUUUGUUAUAUUUCAUGACUGCAAUAAUGCAUAAAAUCAGUUAGUAUUUCUAUCUUAACUUAGAUACCAUAUUACUAUUUAUUGACAACAGUUUAAAAACAUACUUUAAGGUUACCUCUGUCUGUCUGCAUUAAAGUACAUAUUAUGUCCGUUACACGUUGCUUCAUCUUUAAACAUUCAGUAAUGGAAUAUUAAUGUUCAUUAUUCAUUUUUAGAUAAAAAAAAAAAAUCUUAUAUUUAUUUAAAAAUUUCAAUUUUAUAGAAAAACACGAUUUUUUCCAACUUGCGACAUGCAGUAAAUCCGGUUGGCUCCUUUCAUUAUAAAUUUACUACGUGUAAUAGACCAUGCAUAUUUUAAAAUCAUAUUACAGUUCAUCGAAGUUUUAACACAUUAAACAUCUGACAGAUAUUCUUACGUCUGACCAAUUUAAAACAAUUCUUAUUUAAACUUCCUGUUUGAGUGACUGAUCAGACAAAAAUACUAGUCUCAAAAUGAAUGAACAACAAAUUGGUCAUAAAAAAUCUUAUAAUCGUCACCGAAGAAAUGUAUAGACUGUUAGUGUCACCUACUGUGACCUAACAUAGCAGAAAACACAAAAAAUUAACGAUUUAUUAAACAAGAUAACUAUGCUCGAUGCAGUAUUGAUAUCUUAUUCAUUCAUGUACAAUCCAAUCUUUAUUAUACUGGAGAAAAAAUAUUGAGCACAUUGUUGGGACCUGAACCCGAACGUUAAGCAAUCGAAUGUUUGACUUAAAACGUUUCUCGGAAUUCAAAGUGAAAUCGAGGAACGCUUACAUGACGGGCUUUUCUUUUGUCAAUUGUGUGUAGGGGUCUGUAACAUGAACUAAUACAUCGAAUACCUUCUUUUUAAUGUAAAUAGAAUCCCGAACUUUCCCCCAUAUACUCAGAACGUAAGCAUAUGAUUAUGUUGCUCUUCUUGAUAUUUGAGUUAGAUGAUCAAAUCUUACGUCAAAAACUUGAUAGAAUAUUGACAAACUGGAGAAACAAUUGUCAUUUUCAUAGAGUCUUUUGUACAAUUGGUAGCUAGAAUCAGUAUUUGGACCCCGAAAUUGCAAAUUGAACUAGUAUUGAUAUUAUUAUGUUUGGGCAAACAUUGAUAUUGUUCAUAUGCAAGUAUUUCUGGUGACUAACAACUUUACCGUUAAAUACAAACAUUAUUGUUUUCAUGCCGUAAAAAAUCCUGUGAGAAUUUUUUUUAAUAAGGUUAAUGCUAAUUUGUAAGAUAAUUAAAGAUAAUAUAUGCUGAUUCGUAGUUUUUAUAGUUUUUUGUGUGAAAGCCUAACUCAGACUGAUCUCUGACAUUCUAUUGAAAGAUUUCAUUUGAUAAACUAUGAUUAUACCUAAUUAAUUUUUAUUUGAAAGGGCAAAGAUAAAUAACCUUAUCGUACUUUCUAGUUUUUACUUUACAGAAUAGAUUGAGUGUUGGUUGCUUAACGUCCAGUGGGAAAUAUUUCAUGCAUGUUCAGGACGAUACAGAAUAGAAGUAGCCAAAACAUUUAAAAUGUCGCUGAUUCAAAAAUUUAUUUUAUCCUGCCAUAAGUCGUUCAAUUGGGUGCGGUCAAGCUGGCGGUUGGCAUCCUAAAUGCAAUGUCGUUUCAUAUGAAAAAUAAAGACAAUGUCUGAAAAAAUAAAAGUUUAUGGGUGAAUAUUAAAUUGCAGAAAAAAUAUGACUUUUUUUGUACUGACAUAGAUUACAAACAUGACAAAUGUAGAGAAGUAGUGACGAGUCUCGCUCUUAACCUGAUAUAACUAGAACGUUUUAUUUGAGUAUGGCAGCUUUAGUUUUUUUAAGUCUUGUUUGUCUGCAUGACAAUACUGUGCUGUCAAUUUUUAUCAUUAGUGGUAUAGGUUGUCUGUUGUCCCGAUCGGAAUUCGAUUUCAGACACUGUCUAAUUUCUUCGCUUCGUUAAUCUUCGGUUAUAUAGUUACAUAAUAAUGUACAUGCAAUAACAAGUAAAGUAGCGUAACAAAAGAGUUUACAAAAAUACAACUGGCCAAGUUCUGUUUGACAUGCAAGGUGAUUUGGGAUUCGAUAGGUACAAAACCUAAAUUCAAAUUCUUUAAUGUUUAAGUAUAACAGUAAUGCGAAAUAAACAUAUAAUUUAAAACAGAUUAUAUCUGAGUGAAAGAAUUUGUCUUAUUUUAAAAUGUUUAAAAUGAAAAGUUUCACAAGAUACGUCAAUGUGGUAUUCAAAUGUAUAUUUCAAAUUCUUAAACUAACCCGUUCAUGAAUGCUCUUUUAGGUCACAAACAAAGUUCUUUGAUCAAUAUACGAAAACAAAUUUAUUAUGCUUGCGCUUAACAAAGGGAUAAAUAUGUUCUAAUACAAUUCUUAUUGGAUUUUAUUUUGAUUUUAUACAUGCAAUAGAACUUUGUCAAAUCAAUUUCAUUUCUUUACAAUGUUUACCUACUGAUCGACCUGUGUUUAAAUAUAGUUAUAAACCGACAUGAGAUAAUUUGAUGUCUCGUAAAGGAUGCAUUGGGAUUAAGACAAGAUACUCGUUCAACUUUAUGAAAAUAUAGAUGAUGGUCAAACGUUAUAGCAUCAGCAUCCGCACAAAAUAAUUCAAACAAAUGGGACGUCUAGAUCUAUAGAGGUCAGAUACGAACAAUGGACAUUAAUCGUGUGUGUAUUCUUCUAGAUUAUACUUUAAAUGUAAUGUUUCUCUGGAAAGUCAUAGGGAGGUUUUCAACAAUUAAAAUGAAUAUAAGAAUAAGGAGAUGUUGUAUGAUUGUAAGUGAUACAGCAAUCCGUUAAUGACGAAAGGACAGUCAGAUAUGUGAACAACCAUACUGUAUAGUAAGCUUUAAAAGGCCUUGUGAUGACUAAAUGUAAAACAGUACAAAAGAUAAAACAAAUGGCUUAAUGUAUACUACAACAAUAAAAGAAGAACAAUAUGACAAAUAACAACGAACGACAACCACUGCAUUAAAGGCACAAGGGAAAGGCAAAUGAUAUGUGAGGAGUUUACACAUAUUUGUGUGCGCUCAAUCGUUCCGCUAACUUAUGACUGUAGUAUAUCAACAAAACAUAAUAACAAAUUGUAAAAAUAAAUAGGAAAGGGCUUGGCACGUUGCAUCAGUACUAACCACAAAAACAAAAUCCCCCAAAAAAGAAAGAAGACAAAAAGUACCGAUCUAUGUAUACUCGAAGUUACUGAAAAAAGUAAAAUAACAAAAAAAAACGAACUCCAAGAAAAAUUCAAAACGGAAAGUCCUUUAUCAAAUGGCAAAAUCAAAAGCUCAAACACAUCAAACCAAUAGAAAACAACUGUCAUAUUCCUAUAUUAUAUACAGACUACAUAAGCAGUCUAAGAAAAGUAUGACCUUGUGCAAUGCCAAAUAUAAAUAUCGACAGGAUGCAGUAUCAUAAUUGUUAAUACGUUGAUAGCAUUUCAUGUUUAUUAAAAACAAAAGUUAUUUAUGUCAGUCAAUAUAUGUACACGUGCCUUAAUUGAUAAAAUAAAAAAAAAAGAGAUUCAUUAAAAAAAAAAGAAGAUAUUUUCGGGACAUAGUGCUUGUGCAUAAUUAAACUUUUAUCCUGCUUGAAAACCUACUUUCACCUCCUUGUUGGUGAACAGAGGACUUCGACUAACGGAAGGGGGAUGCGCGCGCAAAUGUAAUCAAAAGCUGCACGCAAACGUAAUGAUUUGUACGCGCAAAUGCAAUGGUAAUGCGCGCAAAUGUUAUGCACCGCAAAUGUAAUAAAAAGCUGCGAGAAAACGUAGAAAAGUUUAAUCUCAAAAUACGCGCAAAUGUAAUGCACCCAAAAAGAAUUGUUAAAAUCAUUUCUGGGAUACGUGCAUACAUAUUCAUUGAUAAGCUGUUGGCGGACUCUGUUAAAUUCAUUGUCUAUACAUUAUGCAAUUGGGUAUUUUUGCACAGGUAGGUAGGUACAAUUGAUGAACCUUAGUCACGUAAUUUCUUAAUUCAAUAGUCGUUCUACAAAUAUUAAAAGACAACCUUUGGUCCCGGAUUUAUAAUGAUUUAACAAACUGGUGUAUACUACCUUCAUAUUUUAAUGUGAUUUAAUGACAUAAUCAUAAACAAACCCUUCUCAAGUCUAGGAGUCGUUAUAAUCUACAGAUUUAAUAAAAGUAUAAAACUAAUUUACCAAAUUCUAUACAAUUUAUAAUGAUAUUAACCAUGAAUUAAAGGAGUGUUGUCCUUUUCGGUAGCCAAUUACCAUGCACCAAUAUUGCAUACUAAUUGUAUUGUUAUUAUAAAUAGCAUUUUGUGAAAUGUAUCUUCUUGAAUAGAAAAACGAUUUUAGGGAUAGUUGCUAAUAAUAACUUAAGUAAACUUAGGAAAAUUUAAAUACGUAGUUUUAAAUGGUAAACAUUCCUCGUGUCCAACUUUAUGUUUUAACCUUGUAUAUAUUAUUAUUUUUUUAGAACUUGUGUGUUAUACAUAUCUAUAGUAGUUUACAAUGCUUAUCUUGAUAAAUUUUACCCAGUA